UACAGAGGGUGCGAGCGUUAAUCGGAAUUACUGGGCGUAAAGGGUGCGCAGGCGGUCCUGCAAGUCAGGCGUGAAAUCCCCGGGCUUAACCUGGGAAUGGCACUUGAAACUACGGGACUGGAGUAUGGCAGAGGGAGGUGGAAUUCCACGUGUAGCGGUGAAAUGCGUAGAGAUGUGGAGGAACACCGAUGGCGAAGGCAGCCUCCUGGGCCAAUACUGACGCUCAUGCACGAAAGCGUGGGGAGCAAACAGG
rnacentral:rRNA from 1 species